rnacentral:rRNA from 1 species
UGGGGAAUAUUGCACAAUGGGCGAAAGCCUGAUGCAGCAACGCCGCGUGAGGGACGACGGCCUUCGGGUUGUAAACCUCUUUUAGCAAGGAAGAAGCGAAAGUGACGGUACUUGCAGAAAAAGCGCCGGCUAACUACCGUGCCAGCAGCCGCGGUAAUACGUAGGGCGCAAGCGUUAUCCGGAAUUAUUGGGCGUAAAGAGCUCGUAGGCGGUUUGUCGCGUCUGCUGUGAAAACCCGAGGCUCAACCUCGGGCCUGCAGUGGGUACGGGCAGACUAGAGUGCGGUAGGGGAGAUUGGAACUCCUGGUGUAGCGGUGGAAUGCGCAGAUAUCAGGAAGAACACCGAUGGCGAAGGCAGAUCUCUGGGCCGUAACUGACGCUGAGGAGCGAAAGGGUGGGGAGCAAACAGGCUUAGAUACCCUGGUAGUCCACCCGUAAACGUUGGGAACUAGUUGUGGGGUCCAUUCCACGGAUUCCGUGACGCAGCUAACGCAUUAAGUUCCCCGCCUGGGGAGUACGGCCGCAAGGCU